CGGAAGGGUAGUACUAGGAGUGGAGUCUGCGGCUUAAUUUAACUUAACACGGAAAAUCUUACCAGACCCGGACACUGGAAAGAUUGGCAUAUUGAGAGCUCUUUCUUGAUUCGGUGGGUGGGUGGUGGUGCGUGGUCGUUCUAAGUUAGUGAAGCGAUUGCACUGGUUAAUUUCCAUAAGAAGCAACACUCUAGCUUAGUAAAUAAGAAUUUCCGGCUUCAACUGAUGGCGUACACACAGUUAUCCUUAGUAGAACAGGCGGCUGUAGCCGCACGAAAUUGAACAAUAACAGGUCUGUGAUGCCCUUACAUGUUAUUGUCCGUUAAAAGUUAAAAACUAAUCCCUCAAAAUCUUUAAAUGGUGUUUAUUGGAUUUAUGUUACUUAUUUAUUUAUAUAAAAUAAUGGCUAUAGUUGUUUGUAUGAAUUUCCCAGUACUACGUUGUAUUUCUCAAAAGAUGAUGUCCCCGUAUUUUG
rnacentral:ncRNA from 1 species